rnacentral:lncRNA from 1 species
GGGGCGGGCGGGCCGGGGCGGGCCGGGGGCGGGCUCUGCGGGCGGAGGAAGCGCCGGGCACCGGCGGCGGCGGCGGCAGCGCUCAACGGGCGGGUGGGCGGGCAGGUGAGGGCGGCGGGCCGGGGCCAGCUGGCGGCUGCGGCUCCUUCUUAUUUGUGUAACUUUCCGGGGUGGGGGUCUUUUUGUUGUCGCUCGUGCCUCCCCCCACCUCCUCUCCCCCGCACCUUCCCCGCUCUUUUUUUUUUAAUUUUUCCGCCCCGCGGAGGAGAGGUUUUUUCUCGCUCUCCUCUGCCUCUCCCGCGGGAGCCGUCGGCGCUGAGGGGAGGCGCGGCGGCCGCCCCGCUGCGGGGGCGAUGCCCCCGCCUGCCUUGGCGCCUCCCCGUGCCGGCCCCGCCGCCUUCCCUUUGUGCCGCCGGGCCCGGCGCGACGCCUGCCCCGGGAGCCGGCGCCCCGCGGCGCCCCGCGGCGGGAGGUAAGGGCGGCAAGGGCGGCCGCCGCCCCGCGCCCCGGCAGCCAUGCGGACCCUGCGGCCGCUGCUCGCCUCCGUGCUGCUCCUCGGCAUGGCACUGGCCCAGCGGCAAGUGACGGUGCAGGAGGGCCCUCUCUACCGUACAGAGGGCUCCCACAUCACCCUGUGGUGCAAGGUGAGCGGCUACCAGGGCCCGGCAGAGCAGAACUUCCAGUGGUCCAUCUACCUGCCCUCGGCCCCCGAGCGGGAGGUG